AGCGAACGCUGGCGGCAGGCUUAACACAUGCAAGUCGAACGCACCGCAAGGUGAGUGGCAGACGGGUGAGUAACACGUGGGGAUCUGCCCAAUGGUACGGAAUAGCUCCGGGAAACUGGAAUUAAUACCGUAUGAGCCCGCAAGGGGAAAGAUUUAUCGCCAUUGGAUGAACCCGCGUCGGAUUAGCUAGUUGGUGUGGUAAAGGCGCACCAAGGCGACGGUCCGUAGCUGGUCUGAGAGGAUGAUCAGCCACACUGGGACUGAGACACGGCCCAGACUCCUACGGGAGGCAGCAGUGGGGAAUAUUGGACAAUGGGCGCAAGCCUGAUCCAGCCAUGCCGCGUGAGUGAUGAAGGCCUUAGGGUUGUAAAGCUCUUUCGCCGACGAAGAUAAUGACGGUAGUCGGAGAAGAAGCCCCGGCUAACUUCGUGCCAGCCGCCGCGGUAACAC
rnacentral:rRNA from 1 species